GGCUAGUCCAAGUGCAGUGGUAUUUACGACUAAGUGAUCACAACCGGUUUCAGAUUUCUUUGUUCCUUCUUCACUCCCACUGUUUCACUUGACUAGUCUUAA
rnacentral:Y_RNA from 1 species